GCACAGGGCCCCACAUCCGUGCCUCGUACGGGAGGUGGAUAAUUAGAUUUUGCAUCGUCACGAACAUGCCCGGCGGAAAGAUCCUCUCUAGCUUGCAUAGCAACACAGGGGCUUGUUUUUCCAUUUCUUCUAGCAAGGUGGGGGAUAGUUCUUUAGCACAAAGCCGGCGGAAGAAAUUGCUCAACUCUGCCAACACCCGCCAAAU
rnacentral:lncRNA from 1 species